rnacentral:misc_RNA from 1 species
ACGUUGCUUCACUUCAGCGAUCGAAACCAUUGAAUCCGCUUCAUCUUGGUGUAAUUCUCUUUGAAAGACGAAGAUUACGCAGUGAUAGAUGGGUCAGAUUCAGUACUCUGAGAAGUACUUCGACGACAUUUACGAGUACAGGCAUGUGGUUCUUCCACCCGAAGUGGCAAAGUUGCUUCCUAAGAAUCGCCUGCUCUCGGAAAAUGAGUGGCGUGCAAUUGGAGUUCAGCAGAGUCGUGGGUGGGUGCACUAUGCUAUUCAUCGGCCUGAGCCGCAUAUCAUGCUAUUCAGGAGGCCUCUGAACUACCAACAGCAGCAGGAGAAUCUCGCUCAACAAAACGUGCUUGCUGCUAAAUGAUUGUUUCAUUUUACUGAUUAUGUGAAAUGCUACUGGCGAGAAAGAAAGCAGUUAAUAUUCA